rnacentral:rRNA from 1 species
GCAAGUCGAACGAGAACUUCAUAGUGAGUAAUCACAGUGGAGUAUCUAGUGGCGAACGGGUGCGUAACACGUGAGAAACCUGCCCCGGAGAUCGGGAUAGCCCAGGGAAACCUGGAUUAAUACCGAAUACCCUCUAACCGUCGCAUGGCGGAAUGAGGAAAUGGUCCGCUGCUCCGGGAUGGUCUCGCGGCCUAUCAGCUUGUUGGUGAGGUAACGGCUCACCAAGGCAACGACGGGUAGCUGGUCUGAGAGGACGAUC